rnacentral:rRNA from 1 species
UACGAAGGGGGCUAGCGUUGUUCGGAAUUACUGGGCGUAAAGCGCACGUAGGCGGAUUUGUAAGUCAGGGGUGAAAUCCCGGGGCUCAACCUCGGAACUGCCUUUGAUACUGCAAGUCUUGAGUCCGAUAGAGGUGGGUGGAAUUCCUAGUGUAGAGGUGAAAUUCGUAGAUAUUAGGAAGAACACCAGUGGCGAAGGCGGCUCACUGGA